rnacentral:rRNA from 1 species
CCUACGGGUGGCAGCAGUGGGGAAUAUUGCACAAUGGGGGAAACCCUGAUGCAGCAACGCCGCGUGAGUGAUGACGGCCUUCGGGUUGUAAAGCUCUGUCUUCAGGGACGAAAAUGACGGUACCUGACCAGGAAGCCACGGCUAACUACGUGCCAGCAGCCGCGGUAAUACGUAGGGGGCGAGCGUUUUCCGGAUUUACUGGGCGUAAAGGGAGCGUAGGCGGAUUUGUAAGUGAGAUGUGAAAUACUCGGGCUCAACAUGAGUGCUGCAUUUCAAACUGGAAGUCUAGAGUGCAGGAGAGGAGAAUGGAAUGCCUAGUGUAGCGGUGAAAUGCGUAGAGAUUAAGAAGAACACCAGUGGCGAAGGCGAUUCGCUGGA